GCGGCGCGCACCCGCACCCGCCCCCAGCCCGGAUGCGGGAGGGGGAUCGGGUACCCCCCACGCACACCCGAGGGGUCCCGUCCCGUCCCCGCCACCUUCAGCCGGGGGUCUCAUCGCCUGAUUGCUCCUGUUUUUCCCUUUAUCUGCGCAGGGGAGGUGCGGAUGAAUGGUUUGGUGGGACGCGCUUCAGCGAGGAGGUGCCGGGUUACAACGCACACUGGGGGCGAUACAUUGAUUAUUCCUCGGCUGUGCUUUCCCGCUUUCCCUGGCAGUCCCUCAUUACCCGGUACAACACAGUACGGCGCGGGGGUGUCCAUUGUUCCGUUAGUCUAAAUUGUAAUCGCGCGGGGCUUCUCAUUAUGACUGCGGUACACCCUAAAAUGAUACAUUUUUUAUAAAAGCACCCAAACCCGCAGUCGAAAGAUAAACUGCGUUCCAUGUGGAUAUGAGUAGGCUCCCCAUAAAAAUAUCUGUUUAGCCUGUCAAAGACAAGUUCGUUUUGCGUACAACAAUGUCUAAUUUACAUUCUCUGUUUCCGAAGCUUUAAAUCACUGGCACUUUUCAGCAUGAAAAGUUGAGCACAACUUUGCUCAUUUCGUGACUAAAGUGAGCCUUGCCUGCCUGCUUCAGAUGGCAGAGCGAUUAGAGACACGAGGCACAUUUUCCCCCGGGACGCUGAAAAUAAGAAGAAAUGGGGGGUUUUGCAUAGUCUUAGCUGUUAGAGCAUCGAGCAUCAAAAGUGAGAUAGCAAUCGGAUUGUCUGUAAAAUCCUAGAGCGCAUCCGGUAAGGUCACGGCUGCUGUGAGACGAAGGUGAUGCCGCUCCCCUCACUGCCUGAAAGAAUCAGGCAGAUGGUGGGAAAAAAACAGCCUUGAUCGUUUGUUUUCGCAGAGCAGCAGGACCUCGCAGAGACCCUCGAGAAGGCUCUGCUGGCAGUGAAGAGCUGCAGGAGUACAGCUGCAGCAGGGCUUGUGCUGUGGGCUUUGUCCAUUCUGCGAACCCCAGGAACACAAGGUCUGGGCUCAGACCCACCAGCAGCAAGUAUGAGAAGAAACGAAGGUCACCAGAAGGUGCAGAUGGGAGAUGGUCACAUGCAAUUUCCAUCCCACCCACACGGCCCAGCAAAGGCUUGCCAUGAGACUUCACCUUUGGGGCUGUUGUUGCCAUCGUGGUAAGCGAACAAGCAUCUGUGCUUCGGAAAUCAGUGGAUGGAAGGUGUUUCGUGAAAAGCAGCAUGUGGGAAAGCAGCUUAAAAUGGACCCUCCCAAAUCACAUCUUCUAUGAUUUUAAGGGAUAUGAGAUGAAAAGAAAUGCAUAGAAAAUCUACAGAUUUGUGAGAUUACUUGGCUCCAAAUCGCUGCUGUUUUGAGAGUCUCUGUCCAAAUUCCCCUGAGUGGGAUUCCGCCUGUCAGAGGAAAUGGCCUAAGAGGCUGUCUUACAAUUGAAAUUGGGUUGGGAGGUGAAAAAACAGUGACUCUACGAAGGAGGGGUGUGAUCAGCUGCACACUUGUCUGCCCCUGCUCAUACUCAGCUUGCUGAAAUGGAGCGACUUCAAUUGAUUUUGCUAUUUUUGCAGUGCUGACUGACGAGCCAGUGAAGAGGGAACUGUGUUCUGUGAGGAAGCAGCAUGGGAGGGGCAUGUCCCACUGCCUGUGCUGCACUGCUGGGAGCUACCCGGGGGUUUGGCUUCUCAUCUGCGCUGUGCACCGAUGAGCUACUGUAUCACUGUGUUUUGUGUGCAAAGGGUAACAUACACCUUCUCUUUCAAAGGAUUCCUAUAUAUCACAUCUAUAUUUAUUUAUUUGUUUUAAACAAAAAUAGUCAUGCAUUUGUUAUUUAUUAACCAGCAUGUUCUCAUAUUGGCAUACUUAGGCUUAAAAAUUAAUAACUUUUAGUGUCAAAUUCUGUGCAAGGGACAUGACUCCUACUGAAACCAACUGAUGUUAAAUGUGGUGUUUUUCCAGCAUCUAACUAUGGGAUCAAUAAGGCCUUCAUCCUUGUCGGUAGUCUGUCAGCUGGUAGGAAGACAGGCAGCCUUGUAGACAAGACACAGACAAGGAGGUCAAGAGAAGUGGAUUCUUUUCUCAGUUUGCCUUUGGGCUUUUGCAAAGCCUUGGACAAAUCACACAACCUCUCUGCUAAACCUCCUGACUUCCAAAAUGGAAACGAACAUAACUGUCUGCUUCCCAAGGAUGCUAUGGAGUAAAUCAAUUCUCAGAGAGGGGGGAAGGGAGGGGAAGGAGGUGUGUGGGAACAAAAACUACCUGGAUGCUUUGGAAGGAACAGACAUAUUUCUGUUAGUAUGCAUUUUUGUAAACAGCCUUAGAGUGCACUUAAGUAUUAACACAUUAAAAAAUUAAGCAACAGCUAGAGGAUUUGGUUAUAUAGGGAGGGUAUAGUUAAUAUAAUAUAUUAACAUUGCUAGUCUCAUUCUCCUAUGGACAUAGUUCAUUUUGGAUAAGGCCAGGGUAACUAGAAAAGAUUGAAAGGUCAAACGUUCCCAAUCAAAUGAGAACACUUUGCAAUUGUUUUAGUUUAGAUGGUAGUCAGAAAAAUAUUUCCACCUUUCAUUUGCUAGAAAAGCUAUCCAGAGCUGGCAUUAGUAGUGGCUUUGAUGUAUUCUCUGGUACACUGGUCCAGAGCAUGCUGAUGUAAACAGAAGUGUCUCUUGACCUGUUAUCUUUGUUCUUCAACUUUGAUAUUUGCCCCCUUCAAUGGCUUCUUUCUCCUCCCGGGGAGGCUUAAAAAAGUCAAUUGAUAGAGAAAAGAAAGAGUUUCAGGUUUUUUCUCUGCAUAAGACCCUAAAGAAAUAGACACAUCUAUUGUACAGUCACUGAAGCUCUUGAAAUAGUGUGGGUUUUUCUCUUGAAUCCUGCAGGGAAAUGAGCAAAGAAGGAAAGAAAAAAAAAAAGCAUGCAGUUUUGUCCACAACUACGGUAAGUACAUUAUACUUUUGAUACUUUUGCUCCUGAUGGUUUUUUUGAGAGAAAAACUGAGAAACUCGGCUUCAGAAACAGGCAGUGCGAACAGUAAUGCCUAUGGGUAAGUUGGUCCAUCAUUGCCCAUUAUACAACCUUGUUUUUUGAUGCCUGUAUCUGUCAAAUAUUAGCUAAUUUGUAAUGACAUUUUUUCUGUGAUUGAUGUGUUAGCCUGAAGCUAAUUCUUAAAAUAGUUCAGUCAGUUUGCAAAAUGACGUUGGCAAAAAAAUACAUUUUUCUUCCAUUAAAAAAUAUCGUUGGGUUGCAUGACUGAGAAACUCUCCAUGCACUAUACCUGAAAUUUGGCAAGGGAUUUGCCAAGGAUUUGAUGGGUACCACCCAUAAACAUGCACGAUAAGAAGAGCCCAAUAUUAGGAUGCAAGCUGUGCAGACAAGAGGAUGAGUGGAACUUAAUGAGCAAAAAUUGAUGAGGCUGUGACAAGAAUGAAAGAGCAGUAGCCUGUAAGGAUGGUGUGUAGGACUGAGGCAAAGACAUGAGGAUGUUAGGAGAAAGAAACCAUGAGCAUGGUCCAGGAGUUAAAAAUGAACUACUGAAGUAAGACUCUUAGGUUCUUAAGAGAAUGGAAAGGGAUGAAGGGAUUGGACUGGGAGACGGAAAGUCCUUGGGUAUUACAGCACAGUCUUUUCAAAGAGUCUCUGUGGUCAAAAACUAAUAAAAAAAAGCUAUAAAACUCA